GCAGGAGGAGGAAAGCGACGAGGGAACGUCCAACUCCUUCUCUUUCAACAUGUUCCAGUUCUCCAGGAAGGAUGGCGAGAUCUAGCUGAAGUGUGAAGUGGAGCUGCGCCUCACAGAGGAGCAAAGCUGCUCUCAGAGCUGUAACGAUGGAGGCAAAAGGAGGUGCAGAUCCUUCAGGUCUAGAUAUGAUAGAAACUCGGCCCUCAUCACGAUGUCCUGGAAUAAUUAAAGACAGCUUCCCUUCUGAUGGAUUACACGGUGAGUCCUCACUUGAGCUUCGUCCCAACAAGGAGCCUGAAGAGUCUGAAGUUAUCGUCGCUGUGAAACCACGCCGGCAGAUAAUCUUCAUCUGAUCCACCUGAGAUGGCGUUUAUCAUCUCUGCUGAAUCUGUGGGCCGCUGAUUCAACCCACUGAUUCAUGCACAUAUAAUCUGUGGUGAAAUAAUGGAAGUGAAGAGCAAAGAAGAACAAAAAUACAGUGAAACUUCACUUAAUAGCUUCACUGACUGAAGUCAACAGGCCUGUAUUUGAGACAGGCCUUUAAUUCCUGUCACACAAACUGCUGCUCAGCAAAGAUCAGGAAAUACAGUCCAAGUGUUUUUAAACCAGUCUGAAUAUUAGUUCUUUAAGAAUUAGGCUCCAGAUAACAUAUAAAUUAUGAGUCAUUAAUUUGGUCUAACUCUGACAGACGGAGCAUCAGAGAGAGUUACAGCACUGGGAACA